UACGUAGGGGGCAAGCGUUGUCCGGAAUCAUUGGGCGUAAAGAGCGUGUAGGCGGCCCGAUAAGUCCGCUGUGAAAGUCCAGGGCUCAACCCUGGGAUGCCGGUGGAUACUGUCGGGCUCGAGUCCGGAAGAGGAGUGUGGAAUUCCUGGUGUAGCGGUGAAAUGCGCAGAUAUCAGGAGGAACACCAAUGGCGAAGGCAGCACUCUGGGACGUGACUGACGCUGAGACGCGAAAGCGUGGGGAGCGAAUGGG
rnacentral:rRNA from 1 species